AGCCAGCGUGCCUUCCUCAUGUGUCUGUUACUGCAAAUGGGGACAGUUUGGAGACCAUUAAUGGAACUGAGUGCAGUUGGUGGCAUAACUUGUUAGCUAAUCCAGUGCAAGUCACAUAUGCUGAUGAUUUUGAAAAGAAGACAAGACAGCAAAGACCCUAUAUCUAAUGGGAACCUGGCAUGUACUAGAAAACCGUUGAAAUUCUCAAGUCCUGUGGUAAUACUCUG